AUUUAACGCUGGCGGCAGGCUUAACACAUGCAAGUCGAGCGAGCGGCGGACGGGUGAGUAAUGUCUGGGAAACUGCCUUAUGGAGGGGGAUAACUACUGGAAACGGUAGCUAAUACCGCAUACCAUCAGAUGUGCCCAGAUGGGCUUAGCUAGGAGGUGGGGUAAUGGCUCACGUAGGCGACGCUCCCUAGCUGGUCUGAGAGGAUGACCAGCGACACUGGAACUGAGACACGUUCCAGACUCCGAAGGGAGGCAGCAGUGGGGAAUAUUGCACAAUGGGCGCAAGCCUGAUGGAGCCAUGCCGCGUGUGUGAAGAAGGCCUUCGGGUUGUAAAGCACUUUCAGCGAGGAGGCGUUACUCGCAGAAGAAGCACCGGCUAACUCCGUGCCAGCAGCCGCGGUAAUAC
rnacentral:rRNA from 1 species